rnacentral:rRNA from 1 species
AUUGAACGCUGGCGGCAUGCCUUACACAUGCAAGUCGAACGGUAACAGGUCUUCGGAUGCUGACGAGUGGCGAACGGGUGAGUAAUACAUCGGAACGUGCCUAGUAGUGGGGGAUAACUACUCGAAAGAGUGGCUAAUACCGCAUGAGAUCUACGGAUGAAAGCAGGGGAUCGCAAGACCUUGUGCUACUAGAGCGGCCGAUGGCAGAUUAGGUAGUUGGUGGGAUAAAAGCUUACCAAGCCGACGAUCUGUAGCUGGUCUGAGAGGACGAUCAGCCACAGUGGGACGGAGACACGGCCCAGACUCCUACGGGAGGCAGCAGUGGGGAAUUUUGGACAAUGGGCGCAAGCCUGAUCCAGCAAUGCCGCGUGCAGGAUGAAGGCCUUCGGGUUGUAAACUGCUUUUGUACGGAACGAAAAGCCCCGGGUUAAUACCCUGGGGUCAUGACGGUACCGUAAGAAUAAGCACCGGCUAACUACGUGCCAGCCGCCGCAGUAA